GGGAUAGGCAACCUUUGGCACUCUAGAUGUUGUGGACUACAUCACCCAUGAUGCUUUGUCAGCAUUAUGAAUGUAAGAGCAUUAUGGGAGAUGUAGUCCACAACAUCUGGAGUGCCGAAGGUUGCCUACCCC